AGUGAACGCUGGCGGUAGGCCUAACACAUGCAAGUCGAACGGCAGCACAGUAAGAGCUUGCUCUUACGGGUGGCGAGUGGCGGACGGGUGAGGAAUACAUCGGAAUCUACUUUUUCGUGGGGGAUAACGUAGGGAAACUUACGCUAAUACCGCAUACGACCUACGGGUGAAAGCAGGGGAUCUUCGGACCUUGCGCGAUUGAAUGAGCCGAUGUCGGAUUAGCUAGUUGGCGGGGUAAAGGCCCACCAAGGCGACGAUCCGUAGCUGGUCUGAGAGGAUGAUCAGCCACACUGGAACUGAGACACGGUCCAGACUCCUACGGGAGGCAGCAGUGGGGAAUAUUGGACAAGGGGCGCAAGCCUGAUCCAGCCAUACCGCGUGGGUGAAGAAGGCCUUCGGGUUGUAAAGCCCUUUUGUUGGGAAAGAAAAGCAGCAGGUUAAUACCCCGCUGUUCUGACGGUACCCAAAGAAUAAGCACCGGCGAACUUCGU
rnacentral:rRNA from 1 species